AUGUACCUCAUAGUUGGGAUGUACCUUCUUCAGGUGUCAAAUGUGAUGUUGUACCUGGCCGUUCAAAUCUUACCUCCUCGGUACAACGAGAAAGAGUUUACUAUGGUCAGUGCAGUGAGAUUCAUGGAACUAAUCAUUCCUUUACGCCUAUCGUCGUAG
rnacentral:rRNA from 1 species